UAGUCCACGCCCUAAACGAUGUACACUAGUUGUUGUGAGGCUAGACCUUGCAGUAAUGCAGUUAACACAUUAAGUGUACCGCCUGGGGAGUAUGGUCGCAAGAUUAAAACUCAAAGGAAUAGACGGGGACCCGCACAAGCGGUGGAGCAUGUGGUUUAAUUCGACGAUACGCGAAGAACCUUACCUGGACUUGACAUAGAAAGAAUAACGCAGAGAUGUGAUAGUGCUAGCUUGCUAGAACUUCCAUACAGGUGCUGCACGGCUGUCGUCAGCCCGUGCCGUGAGGUGUUGGGUUAAGUCCCGCAACGAGCGCAACCCCUAUUCUUAGUUGCCAGCACGUAAUGGUGGGGACUCUAAGGAGACUGCCUGCGCAAGCAGAGAGGAAGGUGGGGACGACGUCAAGUCAUCAUGGCCCUUACGCCCAGGGCUACACACGUGCUACAAUGGAGUGCACAGAGGGUAGCGACACGGUAACGUGAAGCCAAUCUC
rnacentral:rRNA from 1 species